GGGCCGGUAACUCAGUGGUAGAGUGUAGGACUGCAGCCAUACUGUCUUCCCGAAGUCACGUAAGUUGUUCUCAUCAAAUGAGUGACGUGAACAUCAUCUAACAAAGACACAGCGGUUCGACUCCGGUUCGGCCCU